GCUCACUAGUCGAGAGGACUUGCGCCGAAAAUACACGGGGCUAAAACACACCACCGAAGCUAUGGAACGGAAACGUUGGUAGGGGAGCAUUGUGUGAGGACGAAGCGUAAACGAAAGUGAGCGUGGACGAAACAGAAGAGAGAAUGCCGGAAUGAGUAGCGAGAUAGAAGUGAGAAUCUUCUAGGCCGAAAAUCUAAGGGAUCCAGAGUAAAGCUGAUCUGCUCUGGGGAAGUCGGGGCCUAAGGCGAGGCUGAGAAGCGUAGUCGAUGGAUAACAGGUUGAUAUUCCUGUACCGUAAGUAAACAGAACUGUGGGGACACAGGAGGAUAGUAAGAGCCGGGAAUGGAAAGACCGGUAGAAGCACAAAGGUACCUGGAUAGGCAAAUCCGUUCGGGUGAACUGAAGUGUGAUCUGGACUGAAAUAAAGUAAGGAAGCUUAUGAAUCCAAACUGUCAAGAAAAGCCGCUAUUGUUUUACUUACGCCCGUACCGCAAACCGACACAGGUAGAUGAGGAGAGAAUCCACAGGCCGGCGGGAGAAGCGUUGUUAAGGAACUAGGCAAAAUGACCCCGUAACUUCGGGAGAAGGGGUGCCUCGAAAGAGGCCGCAGAGAAGAGGCCCAAGCGACUGUUUAACAAAAACACAGGUUUCUGCGAAACCGCAAGGUGAAGUAUAGGAGCUGACGCCUGCCCGGUGCUGGAAGGUUAAGGGGAGGACUUAGAGCAAUCGAAGGUUCGAACUUAAGCCCCAGUAAACGGCGGCCGUAACGAUAACGGUCCUAAGGUAGCGAAAUUCCUUGUCGGGUAAGUUCCGACCCGCACGAAAGGCGUAACGAUUUGGGCACUGUCUCGACAACGCGCCCGGUGAAAUUGAAGUGCCAGUGAAGAUACUGGCGCCCCGCGACAGGACGGAAAGACCCCAUGGAGCUUUACUCUAGCUUGAUAUUGGGAUUCGGUGUCACAUGUACAGGAUAGGUGGGAGGCAGAGAAAGUAGUACGCCAGUAUUACCGGAGCCGACGUUGGGAUACCACCCUUGUGAUAUUGGAUUUCUAACCAAAAGCCGUGAACCGGCUUUGGGACACUGUCAGGUGGGGAGUUUGACUGGGGCGGUCGCCUCCGAAAGGGUAUCGGAGGCGCUCAAAGGUUCCCUCAGGAUGGUUGGAAACCAUCCAAAGAGUGCAAAGGCAGAAGGGAGCUUGACUGUGACACCGACGGGUGAAACAGGUAGGAAACUAGGACUUAGUGAUCCGGUGGUAUAAAGUGGGAUUGCCAUCGCUCAACGGAUAAAAGCUACCCUGGGGAUAACAGGCUGAUCUCCCCCAAGAGUUCACAUCGACGGGGAGGUUUGGCACCUCGAUGUCGGCUCAUCGCAUCCUGGGGCUGAAGGAGGUCCCAAGGGUUGGGCUGUUCGCCCAUUAAAGCGGUACGCGAGCUGGGUUCAGAACGUCGUGAGACAGUUCGGUCCCUAUCCGUCGUGGGCGUAGGAUAUUUGAGAGGAGCUGUUCUUAGUACGAGAGGACCGGAAUGGACAGACCGCUGGUGCAUCUGUUAGGGACCAAACCUAUAGCAGAGUAGCCAAGUCUGGCAGGGAUAAACGCUGAAGGCAUCUAAGCGUGAAGCCUCCCUCAAGAAGAGAUAUCCCAUCCGCAAGGAGUAAGACCCCUCGAAGACGACGAGGAGAUAGGCCGGAGGUGGAAGCACAGAGAUGUGCGCAGCUGACCGGUACUAAUAGGUCGAGGGCUUGAC
rnacentral:rRNA from 1 species